rnacentral:rRNA from 1 species
UCUUAGUGGCGGACGGGUUAGUAACACGUGAGAAUCCUACCCUUGAGUGGGGAAUAGCCUUUCGAAAGGAAGAUUAAUGCCCCAUAGUCUCUACGGAGUAAAGAUGCCUUCGGGUGUCGCUUAAGGAUGGGCUCGCGGCCUAUCAGCUAGUUGGUGAGGUAAGAGCUCACCAAGGCAACGACGGGUAGCUGGUCUGAGAGGACGAUCAGCAACACUGGAACUGAGACACGGUCCAGACACCUACGGGUGGCAGCAGUCGAGAAUCAUUCACAAUGGACGAAAGUCUGAUGGUGCAACGCCGCGUGGAGGAUGACGGCCCUAGGGUUGUAAACUCCUGUCAUCAGGGAGUAAGACUUAUUCGUUAAUAGCGUGUAAGUUUGAUAGUACCUGAAGAGGAAGGGACGGCUAACUUCGUGCCAGCAGCCGCGGUAAUACGAAGGUCCCAAGCGUUGUUCGGAAUAACUGGGCGUAAAGCGUGUGUAGGCCGCGCGGAAAGUCGGAUGUGAAAGCCCAAGGCUCAACCUUG